UACGUAGGGGGCAAGCGUUGUCCGGAUUUAUUGGGCGUAAAGAGCGUGUAGGCGGUCAGGUAGGUCCGUUGUGAAAACUCGAGGCUCAACCUCCGAGACGCCGAUGGAAACCAUCUGACUAGAGUCCGGAAGAGGAGAGUGGAAUCCUGGUGUAGCGGUGAAAUGACGCAGAUAUCAGGAAGAACACCCGUGGCUAAGGCGGCUCUCUAGUACGGUACUGACGCUGAGACGCGAAAGCGUGGGGAGCGAACAGG
rnacentral:rRNA from 1 species